GGGAAAGGUCUCCUUCGUACAUAUACACAGUAUCAUACAAUCUUAUAUGCUUAUCUUAUAUCAAUCAUUCAAGAUUAAUCUGACAUUUAAUGAUCAACAAUUUCAUAUACAAACUUGUACAUUUUUGUACCACACAAAAUAUGCAUCCAUUGCUACAUAUGUACCAGAAAUACACUAUUAGAUAAGUUUCGAUUGACACAAUUUGAGCAAGUCACCAUGGUAAAAGCUUAUAUGCACAAAUUCCAACAUAUAUCAAAUAAAUUCACCUUGUUUUAGCAGCCAGCCACUAGAGGUAAGAAAAAAUUGUUUUCUGUACAAUUUUAAUUUUGUUUAGCCAUACUUGAUUUAUUAGUAUGAUCAUGAUGAUCUAGCAAGAAUCUUUUGAUGAUUUGUUUUACCACAUUUCAAUUUGGUUUAUAGCCAAAUAGGAAAAUUAACCAUUUACCCCUCCUACAUGGUGGUGAAGGGGAAUAACAAACUAUAUCAUAUUAAACCUGUCUUUACCAAUGUUUUGUGCUCAACCAAUAACAUAUACAUUUAAAAGAUAAAAUCCUUCUAAGUUUCAAUCUUAUUUUACCUGUAGAAUUUUAGGGCCGACACAACAAAAUCAAAGAAGGAUAAAAAACUUAAUUCAAAUAGUUUGGGGUGGGGGGUCAAAAUUGCUGUAAGUUUUGUUUAAUAAACAUCGAUUUUAUAUAUAUCCUUAUUGGUCAAUCAAUAUUUCCCAAAUUAAGUUAAGAGGAGGGUAGGGGGUCAGUGAAAAAACUAUAUGAAUUAAGUUUGUUAUCCUACAUUGAACUUUUGAUGUCUUCCCUUAAUUAUAUCAAGUAUUCUUUUGUUCAGUAAUUUUAUAUCAUCACAACCAUAAUUUACAAAACAGACUUUUUCACAAAAAUGCAUUAUGACUUCCUACAAUGUUUCUAGAUUAUUAAUGAAAAAUUAAAUAUAUUAAAUACAUGAUUAGAGGUCCUUAUGAAUUCUUAUAUAAAUAUGUAUCACAGCAAACAAAAAUGUACAAAGUACUGUAAAUUCAGAAGUUAUUGUGAGGUUUUUGUUAUAGCGAAAAAUGCGAAAGAGUUGUAAACGCAAUAUGCAAACAAUGCUAAAGAGUUGUAAACGCAAUAAUUUAAACUCACAUUUUGAAAUAUUUUAUAUGAAUUAAACAGGAUUUUUCUCAAAAUCGUAAAAAUUAAAAUCGUAUUUAAGUAUAAACUGACAAAAUCGCAAUAAUAAUUUCUGAAUUUA
rnacentral:lncRNA from 1 species